GACAAGUUUUAAGCAAUUUUCUUCUCUUUCAGUUCACAACUUCGUAUUCAAAAAGGCUUUUCGCUCUUUUAUUUCUCAGGCUCUGCUCUUUCAGAUUCAAAGUAUCCGUUUUCCUCUCAUUUCCAUCUGGUGAACUCGCCGCGAUGCUGAAAGCCAAUUCUCCUUCCAAAGCGUUUUUCGCCGUCCGUUUCCUUCUCUUUGGUUUCGAUCCCAUCAACGAGCGUGAGGUUCGAGCCAAGCUUCUUAAUGGCGGCGGAAUUGAUGCUGGUCAGUACGGUCAAAAUUGUACUCACGUGAUUGUAGAUAACAUUCUUUUCGAUGAUCCUCUUUGUGUUACUGCAAGGAAAGAUGGGAAGACACUGGUUACGGGUUUAUGGGUUGACCAUGGUUAUGAAAUUGGAAUGGCUGUAGAUGCCACUUCUAUUAUGUAUAGGCCACUUAGAGAUUUGAAUGGCAUAGCGGGUGCUAAAAAUUUAAUUAUAUGCUUAACUGGAUACCAGCGACAAGAUCGAGAUGACAUUAUGACCAUGGUUGGCCUGAUGGGAGCUCAAUUUUCUAAGCCAUUGGUAGCAAACAAAGUUACUCAUCUCAUAUGCUAUAAAUUUGAAGGUGAAAAGUAUGAACUUGCCAAGAAAUUGAAGAAAAUAAAGCUUGUUAACCAUCGGUGGUUAGAAGACUGCUUAAGGGACUGGGAGCUUCUUCCAGAAGAUAAUUAUAGCAAGAGUGGCUAUGAGUUGGAGGUGAUGGAAGCUGAAGCAAAGGAUUCUGAGGAGGAAGCUGGGGUCCCCGCUUUGAAGCAAUCAAGUCAUGAAAUGGCAAAUAACAGUCCUCACUUGAGAAUGGGAACUCCUAAGCCUUGUCAACUACCCAAAUCAACUGGGGAACUGCCAAAAAUGGCACAAAAUAUAAGUAAGCCUGAAGGUCUGCCAAGUGUUGUGAAUGGGAAGGACAUGUUAGUAACUCCUAGCAGAAAGAACAGAUCAGCAUCAGGCUUUAUUAGCAACUUUGUUUCUGAGGUGUCGGCCUGUCCUGUCUCUAGUACCUCUAAUGAUGCUUCUUCUGUAGGUUUACCUGAUCCACAAGAGAGAACUCCAAAUUCUACAGAAGGGGGUAAUGACUUGGAAAAUAUUUCCAGAAGUGCUGAAAGGCCUUAUUCUGAUGAAAAGUUUAGUGCUAUAAGUUACACAAGGAAAACCCCACGGAAAUCCCCAACAUCAACUUUUUCAGGAGAGUUGGGACAUAUUAGAGGCUCUCCUAAAUUUCAAUUAGGUGAAUCCAUUAAUAAGACUUCUGUUGAAGUUGAAUAUGCUAAGGGCUUAACUGGAUCUGAUCAUGCUGAGCAUCUUCAAAAAGGAAUUGAGCCAUUUUGUAAAGAAGCUUCAAGCAGUAAAAAGCAAAAGAUAGAUGUUUCAUGUUUUAACCCUAAAUCUCAGAAUAUGAGUCAUGAUCCACCAAGAAGUGUGACAGGCAGUCCAUCAGUUAGUUGCAACCAGGGAUUGGAACAAGCAUCUUUGGUAGAUGGUUUGUCUAAGAUUAAUAACCAGUAUCAUGAUGUGACAGGAAGUCCAUCAGUUAGUCUUGAUGCUGCACAAAAGUCCCAUGCUGAUGUUUCAACAGGCAAAUCAUCAAAAUUUAAAGCGAAGCCAUUCACACAAGAUCUGCUGUUCCUUGAAAAUGCAGUCUCAGAGAAUGAUCAAAAUGAGAAUUUGGAUGAAAAGAUGCUGCAAACAUCCUUAAAGACAUUGAGAAAGUCCAGUUUGGUUAGCAAGCCUGAAGGUGGAGAUUUUGGAGUUAAAAAAUCUGAAAAUGUGGUUGCAGAUGCAGAGGCUGCGUGUCAUCUGCAGCAAGAUAAACAGGUUCCAUCUCCCCCUAACAGAAACUCAGAGACAGAGAAAUCUCAGGUGAUUGCUAAUUUGGAAAAGCUUCAGGAAGGUAAUGGCAACUUAAUUACCAAACCAGGUAGGAUAAAGAUGAUUGCCAAGAAGACACUGGGUUCUAGAUCAAAACUGAAAAGUAAUGCUAACCAAAAAGGGUCUAUUUAUUUAAAAAAAGUUGCUGCUCAAAAUGAACCUGUAGUUGGUCUGCCUAUAGAAACAGCAGAUCAUGAGAACUCCUCCAGUUUCAACGACCAUGCAACAUUCCCUGAAACUGUCAAUGUUAUUGCAGCAAAGGAGGCAGAGACACAAAUUGGCACAAAAUCCAGAGAUAAUGUUGAGAAUGAGACUACUUUUAUGGAUGAUGAAACAGAAGCUCCAGAGGAUAACGACACAAGUGAGGGUAUACUUGAUGAAGUGAAGGCUGGGGUGGUUGAUUUGUCACCUAAAGCAGAUGAUAAGAUGGAGGUUAAACCAGAUGGUGCUCGGCAUUCAACAAACAAUGCUGCUGCUGACAGGGAUGAUGGUGCAAAGGAAGAGAAGAAUGCAGUUCAACUCCAGCAGAAAGAUAAAACAAUCUGUAAAGCAAAUUGUAUGAAAGGGAAACUAAGGCAAGGCAAAAAACAGCCACCAGGCAAGUCCAAGAUAAAGACUGUCCCUCCUGUCUCUGGACAUGCAAAAUCUAAGAAAGUUUCAGUUAGAGAAGAGACUUGCAAUGGCAAGGACAUUGUUGAGACAGCUAUUGAGGAGGAGAAAGGUAAGCCAUGUUCUGCAGGUCAAACUAAGAGCAGAAAUGUAUCUAAGAGAAAAUCUGACAACUCCAUGGAAGCAGAGAAGGAGAAUAAGCCAAUUGUUGAUGGAGAUCAAAGAAUAAGUCAGUUUAAAGGUCAUGUCAGAAAAACAACCCUUAAGUCUGAUAAUGUGUCAAUGAAGAUUAAGCAGAAGUCUGGGAAAAGCAAUCUUAAUUGUAUUUUGGUGAGAGAAGUUUCAAAGCAAGUGAAAACUGAACCUAUAUGGUUUAUUUUGAGUGGGCAUAAGCUACAGAGAAAGGAGUUUCAGCAAGUCAUUAGGCGUUUGAAAGGAAAAUUCUUCAGGGAUUCUCAUCAGUGGUCAUACCAGGCAACGCACUUCAUAGCUCCAGACCCAAUUCGUAGGACAGAAAAGUUUUUUGCUGCUGCAGCCUCUGGAAGGUGGAUUCUAAAGACCGAUUAUCUUGCUUCUUGUAGUCAAGCAGGAAGGUUUGUGGAUGAGGAGCCAUAUGAAUGGCAUAAGCACGGCCUUAGUGAAGAUGGUGCAAUUAAUUUAGAGGCUCCAAGGAAGUGGCGGCUCUUACGGGAGAAAACUGGUCAUGGUGCCUUCAAUGGCAUGCGUGUUAUUAUUUAUGGAGAAUGCAUUGCACCAUCUUUGGAUACUCUGAAGCGAGUUGUGAAGGCAGGUGAUGGGACUAUAUUAGCAACUUCUCCUCCUUACACCCGCUUCCUCACAUCUGGGGUUGACUAUGCCAUUAUCAGUCCUGGUAUGCCACGUGUUGAUUUGUGGGUUCAAGAGUUCCUACGACAUGAGAUACCCUGCAUUGUGGCUGAUUACUUGGUGGAGUAUGUCUGCAAGCCUGGUUAUUCUCUGGAGAGACAUGUUCUAUACAAUACUCAUGCUUGGGCAGAGAAGUCAUUUGCUAACCUAUUGAGCAAGGCAGAAGAGAUUGUUGAAGACUUGACACCAUCAGAUGAUUAUAGUGGCGAUGACAUAGCCUGUCAAGUUUGUGGAUCUCGCAAUAGAGGGGAGGUUAUGCUGAUAUGCGGUGAUGAAAGUGGUUCUGUUGGUUGUGGGAUAGGUAUGCACAUAGACUGUUGUGAUCCUCCUCUUGAAAAUAUUCCAGAGGAGGAUUGGUUUUGUCCUGAUUGUAGUAGCAGUAACAGCAACAGUUCCCCUAAGAGGAGAAAAGGACUUAACUGAAGACGAAGUUAUUUUUUAUUCAUCUUCUCAUUUUGUAGUACACUGUUGUCCGAUUCUCGCAUUUGGCUGUGGCUAAACAUGUAGAAUUUGCUAUGCGUGGUCUUAGUUGAAUUUGAGAAUUUUGUAAGACAGACUAGAAAAUUACGAUUUUUCUAGAAUCUGUUAAGCUUCUCUUAGGGAAUAAUAUAUGGAUUUUCUUAAAUUUAUUAAUCAGAAAAACG
rnacentral:misc_RNA from 1 species